GCGGUCCAUUGCCGUGAGUAACCACGAUCUGAUGCUCGGCGGCGAUCGGCGCUAUAGCCUCGGCCGCUAUCUUGAUGUUC
rnacentral:sRNA from 1 species